rnacentral:rRNA from 1 species
CCAAUAGCGUAUAUUAAAGUUGUUGCAGUUAAAAAGCUCGUAGUUGAAUUUCGGGAUCAGUGCGUUGGUCGUGCCUUCGGUACGUACUGGUGUUACUGGUUUCUACCUUCUGAGGAACUGUCAUGUCAUUAAUUUGGUGUGGUGGGAAAUCAGGACUGUUACUUUGAAAAAAUUAGAGUGUUUAAAGCAGGCUCGCGCUUGAAUACAUUAGCAUGGAAUAAUGAAAUAGGACGUUCGAUCCUAUUUUGUUGGUUUCUAGGAUUGACGUAAUGAUUAAUAGGGAUAGUUGGGGGCAUUAGUAUUCAAUUGUCAGAGGUGAAAUUCUUGGAUUUAUUGAAGACUAACUACUGCGAAAGCAUUUGCCAAGGAUGUUUUCAUUAAUCAAGAACGAAAGUUAGGGGAUCGAAGACGAUCAGAUACCGUCGUAGUCUUAACCAUAAACUAUGCCGACUAGGGAUCGGAUGAUGUUAAUUUUUUAAUGACUCAUUCGGCGCCUUACG